rnacentral:lncRNA from 1 species
GAAGUAGACCUAUUUAGAAAUAGUCCUUUGGAAUAAAUCCCAUCUAUGUGGUAAGGAAACCAGCAGCUCACUUCAUAGGCCAGCAACAGCAGCUUGAUACUGCAAACUCUUCAUAGAUAUACCAGCAGUCCAGUUCAGGAGUGUCGAGAUAACAGCAGUGGUGGCAGGACCUAGCAGAGACAGCCAUGCCUCAGAGAAAUUGGCAGGAGUCAGCAGGAGGGACCAGGGCCAACAGGAACACUGGGAGAAGUUCUCAGCUGUACCUCUCUCAACGAAGUGAAGAUCAGGAAAGAGUAAGGACCACGAAGCUUUGCACAGCUAGCUCUAUAAGCAAAACUCAUGCUCGUUUCACAUCCAUUGAUUCCUAUUUAUGCUCCCUCCAAAUACCACAUGUUCUCCAUGGUUCUUGCCUCACCACAUGUCUUGCCUCAGAACACGAGUAUGACUUAGCAAAACUCCACCUGAGUCUGUAUCAGCUGACAUCACUCUAAUUGGCCCAAGUCCUCAGAAGUGGCAACGAUGGACUUUGUGUGUUGCUCUAGUACAUAAGCAGCUUUGGCAUGUCACUGAAGCAUUUUCCAUGAACAUAGGUUUCAAAAUCAUCAUUGCAAUAGCUCUGCGGCUCCCUGCUCUACUGAUGGGUCAUAAUGUUUCUCUAACCUGAUCCCUGUAUGCUGUGCACUUAGCUUGCCUUACUGUGGGGAGCACAAUGAGGUGGGGAGCAUGCUUGUGCCCCAUCAAGCACUCAGCCUGGGUGUGUCAUUGGAAGGGGCCUGGAGUAGCCACACCAUUGUACUACUGACCCAGAACUUGUCCUAGCCUUUCACCAUCUCCCUGGGAGCACAAGGGAUCUGGUCUCCUUAUAUGUGCUAGAAGAGGCCAGGGGCAGGCUCAAAACAUUACCAGUUUUUGGACAGGCAUGAGGAAUAAAGUACAUAGCUUCUACAUAGUGAAGUGGGUCCUGGGAAACUAAAUCUGUCCAAAGCAUAACACAAAUGUCUCCAAAAUGCUGGACAGGUAGCCCCAUAGCCAGUAUUGAUGAGAGGCUACCUUGGCCAUGCUUUGACUGACAUGGAAGGGGUAUAUCGUGAAGGAGAAGGUGGGCAUUGUAUGGGUGACAUCACUGUGAAAAGCUGAGAGGCUGCCUUAUUAUCUAGGAAGUAAAUAUCAUGAAGAAGUUGUUUUUGCAUAAUCACGGGAGAGGGGAUAAUUAUUUUCCCCUUUACAGUUUCCUCAGUUUAUCCUUUGCACUCACAGGAAGUCAUCCACAUUUCCUCUCAGAAUCUCCAGCCCCUGCCAGAAUGUUUGCAUGGACUAGGAAAUCCAACAAUGAAUUUAUUGGUGUUCAAAGAGAAACUGAUAGAGUGGGAACCGAACUUAUAUUCAAAGGGAUAUUUAUGAAGCAUUCAGAGCUCUGAGUAAUGUGCUCCAAGCUGUGUGCCCUUAACAACUGGAUAUGGGUCACCGUGUCUCCACAGGCAAGUGAGCCUUAUUCAAACUCUUCAACAUCUGUUUCUACAUAGUCCUUCCCAUUUGUCCUCCAAAGCCUGGACAAUUGUCACGUCCCAUUACCUCCCAGCCUCUACUGGCACCUUCUCUUCUAAGUCAUAUCAUAUUUCCAUGACAAAAGCUUUUCUAGCCCCCUAUCAAGUAAACAAGACGACCUCCGUAUUCAUGUUUUCUGAAUGUGCUUUUUCAAACCUCAGUACUUUCCUUCCACUGGCUCCUUAUCAAAUCACCCCUAAUGUCCCACACUGCAGCCACACAAACAGCUCCCUGGGGCCUGAGCACAUCUCACAGGCUGAACCUUUCCCCUUGAUCUUGCUUUUCAAGUGCAUGUGGUGUUUCUACCAACUGUUCUUGCUGCGAUUGUCAACCUGACCCGACCCAGACAUCUGGGAAGAUGGAAUCUUAACUGAGAAGAUGCCUCUAUAAAAUUGGCUUGUACACAAGCCCAUGAUGGUAUUUUCUUAAUUGGUGAUUGAUGUAAGGCCCAACCAUGGUAGGACAAACCCCUGUGCAAGUGCUCUUGAUUUGUAUCAGAAAGCAAUCUGAGGGAGCAAGCCAGAAAGCAGUGUUCCUCCACUACCAGGUUCCCACUCUGCUACCAGGUUCCUGCUCUACUUGAGUUCCUGCCCUGACAUCCCUCAGUGAUACAUUGUUAUUGGAAAUGUAAGAUGAAAUCAACCUUUUCAUCCCCAAGUUGCCUUGGGUCAUAUUUUAUCACAGCAAUAGAAACCCUUAGACACCACCUAGAGUGUAACAGCUGCUUGGGAUCUUCUCCUUCCUUCUCAUAGCCUUCCUUCUUCAACACUGUCAUAGCCUUAGCCUGUCAAACUCAAAGCUCCUUAUCCCAGACCCCUUUACACCCUUAUGGAUACCACAUUUAGUGUGUGCAUGUGCAUGCAUGUGUAUGCAUGUGUGCGUGCAUGCACUGUGAAUUCCUGAAGUUUACAGUUCACCCUUUCUCACUAGAGUCUGGUUCAUCCUCUCACCAGCAGCACUGAACUUGCCAUGCAUCAUUCAUAGAACUGAAUAUAAUCUCUGGGUCACAGUUUCACCUGUAGCCAUAAUCACAGCUCUUUCUUUCCCAGUGUCCAUGUUCUGCUCCCAGAUUAAGCUGAAAAACAAAUACAGAGUUAAAUCUUCCCCCACACAGAGGCCCAUAGUUUUACUUUCAUAAAGAAGAAAACUCUUGAUUAUGUUUCUGAGUGACAGAUGACCCAUCAGCU